UCUGCUGACACCAACUCACAGAUCUGCUCACUUAACUGGGUGGAGGCCACCAGAAUCCUGGUGACCGGGCAUGGGCGCCCCCAUAACAGCGCCAUUUGUUGGGAUUGGAAUUUCCCCUCACUCAGGCCUCUUUUGCACCUUUCAGGUCAUUCAAGUCGUAUUCUGCACGUGUCCUUGAACAAGGUCGGGAGCCAGCUCUUCACUGCAGGUGCCGAUCAGCGUCUUCAUGUGUGGAACAUGCCAUUUCCCACAUCUCAGCAUUGUUAAGAACGUACGCUUAAAACAUGCGGUCAACACAUCACCAUUGCUGCAACGCGGCAAAUGCACAGUUCUCGUUCACACUUGCAGUCCACUGACAAAACCACCUUUGUGGCAAAAGACUCGCAGACUUCUAGCCCCUGAGAACCACCUUUUAUUUUAACUAUUAGUAGUAAAUAAAUAAAUGCAUCGGUGAAAAUCUUAAAUGGCUGAUCAAGUGUGUUUACUGUAUAUAGCAUUCUGGUUUGGUUCCCAUAAAACAAACUUUCUUGAUAUUCAUUUUGCGAUAUGUUAGUGUCGUGUUACCCGAUUAACGGUUUACCACUGAAUGGGAGUUUAAAGGUCUCCUCUUCUUUCAAUUUACCGACCUCAAGAGGAAGCUGUGUCUCACUUGUGGGUGAGAAAACCACAAGAAAAACACAGUCAUGAAGACUUCCUUUGAAAAAUAGGACAGCGUUAAU